rnacentral:rRNA from 1 species
CGGAGUUAGCCGAGGUUGAUUCAUCAGGUACCGUCAUUGAUUCUUCCCUGAUAAAAGGGGUUUACAACCCAAGAGCCUUUCUCCCCCACGCGGUCUUGCUCCGUCAGGCUUGCGCCCAUUGCGGAAAAUUCCC